rnacentral:rRNA from 1 species
GACGAACGCUGGCGGCGUGCUUAACACAUGCAAGUCGAACGGAAAGGCCCCUUUGGGGGUACUCGAGUGGCGAACGGGUGAGUAACACGUGAGUAACCUGCCCUUGACUUCGGGAUAACUUCAGGAAACUGGGGCUAAUACCGGAUAGGAAUCCUUGCUGCAUGGUGGGGGUUGGAAAGCUUCGGCGGUUUUGGAUGGACUCGCGGCUUAUCAGCUUGUUGGUGGGGUAGUGGCUUACCAGGGCUUUGACGGGUAGCCGGCCUGAGAGGGCGACCGGCCACAUUGGGACUUAGAUACGGCCCAGACUCCUACGGGAGGCAGCAGUGGGGAAUAUUGCACAAUGGGCGGAAGCCUGAUGCAGCAACGCCGCGUGCGGGAUGACGGCCUUCGGGUUGUAAACCGCUUUCAGCAGGGGCGAAGCUUGUGGUGACGGUACCUGCAGAAGAAGCACCGGCUAACUACGUG